rnacentral:rRNA from 1 species
UACGUAGGGUGCAAGCGUUUGUCCGGAAUUAUUGGGCGUAAAGAGCUCGUAGGCGGUCUGUCGCGUCGGCUGUGAAAACCCGAGGCUCAACCUCGGGCCUGCAGUCGAUACGGGCAGACUAGAGUGCUGUAGGGGAGACUGGAAUUCCUGGUGUAGCGGUGAAAUGCGCAGAUAUCAGGAGGAACACCGGUGGCGAAGGCGGGUCUCUGGGCAGUAACUGACGCUGAGGAGCGAAAGCGUGGGGAGCAAACAGG